CCAAUAGCGUAUAUUAAAGUUGCUGCAGUUAAAAAGCUCGUCGUUGAAUUUCGGGACCAUCACGUCGGUCGUGCCCCGGUACGUACUGGCGUCGUUGGUUUCUCCCUUCUGACGAACCAUGAUGUCAUUUAUUUGGUGUCGUGGUGAAUCAGGUCUGUUACUUUGAAAAAAUUAGAGUGUUUAAAGCAGGCUCACGCUUGCAUACAUUAGCAUGGCAUAAUGAAAUAGGACGUUUGAUUCUAUUUUGUUGGUUUCUAGGAUCGACGUAAUGAUUAAUAGGGAUAGUUGGGGGCAUUAGUAUUCAAUUGUCAGAGGUGAAAUUCUUAGAUUUAUUGAAGACUAACUACUGCGAAAGCAUUUGCCAAGGAUGUUUUCAUUAAUCAAGAACGAAAGUUAGGGGAUCGAAGACGAUCAGAUACCGUCGUAGUCUUAACCAUAAACUAUGCCGACUAGGGAUCGGAUGAUGUUAAUUUUUUUAAUGACUCAUUCGGCGCCUUACG
rnacentral:rRNA from 1 species